CCCCAACCUUGGUCGUGGAUUAUCCUUUUUACCUCCAAGGCUGCGUGGUAGUCUUAUUUUGCCCCUUCACAGAAAGGCCAUCUACUUGGCUCCAUUUUCCUAAAAACUAAAUGAGCGUGAGACUGCAUAGAGCUCUGCCUUCUCCUUCGAUCUCAUCGCGAUUCUCUGAGUUCGAUCCUCUGAACUGCUGCUCUCUUGAAUCUUAGCUACUGACACCUAAUUUGAACUGAUGGUCUUUAAAAAUGGAGGCUUCUUUGAGGUCAUGUAAAGAUUUGUCAUUGGGUUGGCUUCAGCACAUGCAUGUGAGAAACUAAUUUGUUAGGUCACUGAGUUUCGAUAUCUGUUUGGACUCAUCGCCGACAUAGGGAGAGGCGCAAUAAUGUUUCCAGCCAUUUCCCAAUAAACAGUGAUCGGAGCUACCGCUCACACGCCUGUAUGUAGGAGCACAUGCAACGCAUGUUGGACCUCCGAUCACCCCUUCGACGGUCGCUUCACUAUUUCCAACCAUCCCCUAGUGGUUCGAUCGAUUCAUUCAAACCUGUGGCAGUGGGCUUCUCCUUUGGUUGGAUAUUGUUUCUUUCUCCAGGUUUUGUUUCUCAUAUUUGUUUUGUGCCUGUGAGCUAUUUGGGUUUAGAACUCUUAGGUAGAACUUUUGUUUCGACUAUUUUGUGUUGGCUUGUUGGUCGGAUAUUAAUAUGGCUUCUGAUGGUAAAUUUAUA